rnacentral:piRNA from 1 species
UAUGAAUGGUUGUUGCCCAGUCUCUAAAAA